CACGUAGGGCGCAAGCGUUGUCCGGAAUUAUUGGGCGUAAAGAGCUCGUAGGCGGUCUGUUGCGUCCGCUGUGAAAACUCGGGGCUUAACCCCGAGCCUGCAGUGGAUACGGGCGGACUAGAGGUAGGUAGGGGAGAAUGGAAUUCCCGGUGUAGCGGUGAAAUGCGCAGAUAUCGGGAGGAACACCGGUGGCGAAGGCGGUUCUCUGGGCCUUACCUGACGCUGAGGAGCGAAAGCGUGGGGAGCGAACAGG
rnacentral:rRNA from 1 species